UCGGGAAUUUUGCUCAAUGGGCGCAAGCCUGAAGCAGCAACGCCGCGUGAGGGAUGAAGGCCUUCGGGUUGUAAACCUCUUUUCUCAGGGACGAUGAUGACGGUACCUGAGGAAUAAGUCACGGCUAACUACGUGCCAGCAGCCGCGGUAAUACGUAGGUGACCAGCGUUGUCCGGAUUUACUGGGCGUAAAGAGCGCGCAGGCGGUCGUUCAAGUCGAGUGUGAAAGCCCCCGGCUCAACUGGGGAGGGUCACUCGAUACUGAUCGACUUGAAGGCAGGAGAGGGUAGCGGAAUUCCCGGUGUAGUGGUGAAAUGCGUAGAUAUCGGGAGGAACACCAGUGGCGAAGGCGGCUUCCUGGCGUGUUCUUGACGCUGAGGCGCGAAAGCUAGGGGAGCAAACG
rnacentral:rRNA from 1 species